CACACGCGGGCGAAGCGGCGUCGGGGCUUUCCAGCUCUUGCAACGUCGCUCCGGUGUCCCCUCGGGGACGGGAAGCCCGCGGCGGCACAACCGGAGAAGGACCCGA
rnacentral:sRNA from 1 species